UACGUAGGGAGCAAGCGUUGUCCGGAAUCAUUGGGCGUAAAGCGCGCGUAGGCGGCCCUGUAAGUCCGUUGUGAAAGUCAAAGGCUCAACCUUUGAAAGCCGAUGGAUACUGCAGGGCUAGAGUCCGGAAGAGGCGAGUGGAAUUCCUGGUGUAGCGGUGGAAUGCGCAGAUAUCAGGAGGAACACCAAUAGCGAAGGCAGCUCGCUGGGACGUAACUGACGCUGAGACGCGAAAGCGUGGGGAGCAAACAGG
rnacentral:rRNA from 1 species